GACGAACGCUGGCGGCGUGCCUAACACAUGCAAGUCGAGCGGGGAACGGACGGUAGCUUGCUACUGUUUGUUUCUAGCGGCGGACGGGUGAGUAACGCGUGAGCAACCUGCCUUUAUCAGGGGGAUAACGCAUCGAAAGAUGUGCUAAUACCGCGUAAGACCACAGCUUCACAUGGAGCGGGGGUCAAAGGAGCAAUCCGGAUAAAGAUGGGCUCGCGUCCGAUUAGCUAGUUGGUGAGAUAACAGCCCACCAAGGCGACGAUCGGUAGCCGACCUGAGAGGGUGAUCGGCCACAUUGGAACUGAGAGACGGUCCAGACUCCUACGGGAGGCAGCAGUGGGGAAUAUUGGGCAAUGGGCGAAAGCCUGACCCAGCAACGCCGCGUGAGGGAAGAAGGGUUUCGGCUCGUAAACCUCUGUCCUAUGGGACGAAGGAAGUGACGGUACCAU
rnacentral:rRNA from 1 species